GCAGUGGCCACCAUUGCGGCAGAUGGGACCCACUGCAAAUCUGCCUCCUCCUUGUUGGCAUCUUGGUCUCUUUCAGAAAUGACAAGAGGUGGCUGGAAGUUAGACUCUCAGGGGCGGAACUUUGCUCAAAUUCUCUAAUAAUCUAUCAACUUCCGCAGCUCUGUGUGGCUUUCCCUCCUCUCCAGAGGGAAGGGUGUCUGGCGUUUCCCAAUCCCACGGCACUGGGGGGACUGUGACAUUGAUGGUGCCCAAGGCAGCUGUGAAGAGUGAGCCCCACAGCUGGCUGUUUAGAGGAGCGAGUCCGGCCAAAGCCAACGUGCCGAGGUCAGAGUGACUCGCACCCAAAUCCUGUCCCCACAACUAAAACCUUCUGACCAGAAGGACAGUGUUCUAAUCACAACCACAUAUUUUAUCUAUUCUGUUCCUAAUUGAGAAUGCUUUGCCAUGUCCUUUCUGAGCCUUUUUUACAUUAAUUUCCAUAGAAACUGCAUGCAGCUUUACCUCAAUUACUGCCAAUAAACGUGAGCUCCUGGGACUGGCCAGGGCAGUGUCGCUUGCACCGGCAUUGGUUGUCUUGGCCCCCCACUUUCUUUCUUUUAGUUCUGUCUCUUAAGUGUAUUUCUCAGACCUGCACUUCACUGGGCAGAUGGGGACCAGAGACUUCCUGUCAGAGUCUUCAGAAAUUGGUGCCCAUCGUGGGGGCUCGAGCCACGUGCAAUCACCUGCUCAGAGAAGCUACUCAGAAUAAAAAAAAGAAAAAAAGAAAAGAAUCCGCAAUGCAGUGCACCUUGCAUCAAGAUAAGGAAGUCCAAGCCAGAAGCAAAACCGGGAAAAGGAGAUGUGAAUGACGCCCAGGUUACAGGCUUGGACGGGGUACAAAACUUGGCUCUUCUGCGAUCUGAUAAGUUAUGGAGCCGGAACAGGAUUCUCAUGUGUGCCGAUCCUGUGGCUGGAUCUGUCUUCACUCCUCCCUUCCCCAGCGAGCCGGGAAGUAGGGUCUCCAGCUCUUCGGUUAAGAAGCUGCCGGGAAGAGGUGCGAUGAAAAAUAAUAGUGACUGCUGCUUGCAAGAGCCAUCCCACAGAAAGACAGCUCGUAAAACUUCUACCUCACUCACUGGAUCUGGCACCAGGUGGCACCUGACUCUUCCCCAGAGUCAAACAAACAUCUCCCCUGGCUGCAGUUGCCUCCUGCAUUGUCCAGCUCAGCCCAAGCUGGGUCACCACAGGAGAUGGACAGGCAGACCACUGCGGGCUGUGUCCCAGAACACAGGCACGUCUGCCCAAGCCCAUGCUGGGCUCCAUGGAAGAGCUUGUUCUGGGUGCUGGGUGAGGGGAAUGUGUGUGAAGCCAGGACUGUGUUUUGCAAAGAGCGAGCAAGUCUCCCUGACACAGCCCCACCGUGGCCCAGGUCAGUCUGUCCUGCCGCAAGGUGACCCACCACCGGAGCACACACCCCAGGGCUUCGGGUAG
rnacentral:lncRNA from 1 species